rnacentral:rRNA from 1 species
ACGGAAGGCAGCAGUGAGGAAUAUUGGUCAAUGGGCGAAAGCCUGAACCAGCCAAGUCGCGUGAAGGAUGAAGGUAUUAUGUAUUGUAAACUUCUUUAGCAGCAGAGUAAUAAGGGGGUCGUGACCUCCGAUGCAAGUAUGCUGAAAAUAAGGAUCGGCUAACUCCGUGCCAGCAGCCGCGGUAAUACGGAGGAUCCGAGCGUUAUCCGGAUUUAUUGGGUUUAAAGGGUGCGCAGGCGGUUUUUUAAGUCAGUGGUUAAAUCGUUAGGCUCAACCUCAUCACGCCAUUGAUACUGGAAGACUUGAUUGCGGUUGAGGUUGGCGGAAUUCGUCGUGUAGCGGUGAAAUGCAUAGAUAUGACGAAGAACACCGAUUGCGUAGGCAGCUGACCAAGCCGUAAAUGACGCUCAUGCACGAAAGUGCGGGGAUCGAACAGGAUUAGAUACCCUGGUA